rnacentral:rRNA from 1 species
AGUGAACGCUGGCGGUAGGCCUAACACAUGCAAGUCGAACGGCAGCACAGUAAGAGCUUGCUCUUACGGGUGGCGAGUGGCGGACGGGUGAGGAAUACAUCGGAAUCUACUUUUUCGUGGGGGAUAACGUAGGGAAACUUACGCUAAUACCGCAUACGACCUACGGGUGAAAGCAGGGGAUCUUCGGACCUUGCGCGAUUGAAUGAGCCGAUGUCGGAUUAGCUAGUUGGCGGGGUAAAGGCCCACCAAGGCGACGAUCCGUAGCUGGUCUGAGAGGAUGAUCCCCCACACUGGCCGGGAGACCCGGCCCAGACCCCGAGGGGGGCCGGCGGUGGGGAUUUUUGGACAAGGGCCACAGGCCUUAUCCAGCCCUACCGCGGGGGUGAAGAAGCCGUUCGGUUUGUAAAGCUUUUUUGUGGGGAAGAAAAAGAAGCAGUUUAAUCCCCGCCUUUUCUGCCGUUCCCCAAAGAAUAAGCACCGCCUAACUCCGGC